rnacentral:rRNA from 1 species
GGCCAGACUCCUACGGGAGGCAGCAGUGGGGAAUAUUGCACAAUGGGGGGAACCCUGAUGCAGCGACGCCGCGUGGGUGAAGGAGUCCUUCGGUACGUAAAGCCCUAUCAGCAGGAAAGAAAAUGACGGUACCUGACUAAGAAGCCCCGGCUAACUACGUGCCAGCAGCCGCGGUAAUACGUAGGGGGCAAGCGUUAUCCGGAUUCACUGGGUGUAAAGGGAGCGUAGACGGCGACGCAAGUCUGGAGUGAAAGCCCGGGGCCCAACCCCGGGACUGCUCUGGAAACUGCGUCGCUGGAGUACGGGAGGGGCAGGCGGAAUUCCUGGUGUAGCGGUGAAAUGCGUAGAUAUCAGGAGGAACACCGGUGGCGAAGGCGGCCUGCUGGACUGCAACUGACGUUGAGGCCCGAAAGCGUGGGGAGCAAACAGGAUUAGAUACCCCGGUA